GUUAGCUAGAAAAUAAUACAAAAUGAGAAGCAAAAUGGAAAUAAUGAUCUGUUGUUAUUAAAAAACAAGAUAUUUAAAGAAUACUUGGAAUAUUAAAUCAUAAAAUAAGUUGAUAUGAAAAGAUAGAGCACAGAAACACACAGCAAAAUUAAAUAACAUGGGGAAUUAAUGUUUUUAGUCAUUUUUGAUCCAUGUUGAGCAUCAAAGAGUUAAUCUGUCGGCCAUAUCUUUAGUGUAGAAUAAGAAUACUUAAUGUGUGUCUUAUGACUUCCCUAAUGAGAAAAACAUGUGCAACAUUCUCAUAAUUCCCUAUAAAUUCCCUUAUCAAACAUGCACUCCAUGAAGAAAUGUACAUUUUGGCGUCAACGUCUCAAUAAAUAACUCUUCUUUUUUCAUAAAAGUGGGUCAUUAGUAAAGCCUCAGAGAUAAUCAACAAUGUUUUUAAUAUUUUUUUAAAUAGUGACAGCUGUUCUCCAGCAGGAAUAGAGUGUGAGCUCCGUGUAUUAUUCCUGUCAUGUUUAAAUAGAGCCGUUACUGAAUAAUUAUUCCUCCGAGACCUUUGAUAUUCAACAGAUUUGUAGCUAAAUCCAGCAACGUAGCAGAAUCCGGUCUGAAAGGGGCUUAAAGUGAUCAUUUCUCAAAGCUGAUCUAAGUGCAUUCAUCAUAAAGAGUUAUCAUAAUUAUAGUCACAGGGCAUUAGUAUAAUUCCUUCUUCUUUCUUUCUUUUUUUUUACACUACAGGUCAAAAGUUUGGAAGCAACUUAAAUGUUGUGUUCUCAGUGUCUUCUUAUAAAACCAGUGUGUAUUCUGUGUAUUUCUGCAUGUGUUUACUACAUGAUCAGACUUUACCUUUAUUGAAUUGAACCAUUUUUCAUCAAUGGUUACCUAAACAUUGAUGAAAAAUGGUAGUAGUAAUGGUAGUUAGCUUAAAAAACUACUUAGCUAAAUACUUAGCCAAGAAGUUAGCUCAGUAGUUAUCAGACCAUUGCUGAAUCAAAUCAAACUUUAUUUAUAAAGCACUUUUCAUACAGUAGAUGCAACACAAAGUGCAUAAAUGUUAAGAACAGAAAAGAAGGGCUGGUAACACUUUACAAUAACCAACUAAAUAAUGUUUAUAGAUGGUUUAUAGACCAAUUAUUAACUAUUUACAAAGUGCUAUACAUAUUUAAUCUUUAUAUGUUUUCAACCAAUUUCUUAAAGGUAUAUGAAUAAUUUCAAAAAGCAUUAACACACUUAAUAUGGUGUUAGAAAUGUUAUAAUGAGUGCAACUAACACUAUUAAUAAACUAUUAAUCAUAAUGUUAUUGUUUGUUAAUGGUAAAGUCACUAUAAUUACAUUAAUAUACCAUCUAUUUGUUAUUUAUAAAUGAUUUACUUAGUUAAACGUUAAUAAAUUAUGUAUUUACCGUUCUAAAUGGCCUAUAUACGGUUUAUAAAUUAUGAUUAAACAUUAAUAAAUCUGUUAACCAUUUAUAAAUGAUGGUUAUUGUAAAGUGUUACCAAAAUACUUAGUUUUACGGUUUUCUACUGUAAAUUUAAAUGUAAAUACCAGCAAAAACUGUAAUUUUUAACAGUUAUUUUUAGGGUAAUUGUGUCAUUCAUUCACACAUCAUGGUAUUUCUCCUUUAAUUUUACAUGAAAAUGUUAUAUUUUUACAGCAAAACUGUGUGUUUCCUCCAGUUUAUGACAGAAAAAAGUAAAAGUUUUGUGCUAUUCUUUGAUUUACGGUAAUUAAAAAGUGUCUACUACGGUGAAUUUUUAAUUUUACGCCCUAUUUCUGAUGUAAUUUGCCAGUGUUUUACUGUAAUUUCUACUUUUUUUUUACAGUGUACCAAGAUAAAAAAAAAGUUAUUUUAAGAGUUAAUUUCUUAUUUUAAGCGUUCAUGCUUAUUUCUAGAUUUUUAAUUUUACGCCCUAUUUCUGAUGUAAUUUGCCAGUUUUACUGUAAUUUCUACAAACAUUUUUUACAGUGUAGAGAUUAAUACACUAAGGAAAGUCUAAACAAUAAAACCCAAAGACAUCAGGUCUUUGUAGUAAAAUCUAUAGUAAAAACUUGUUCUAAUAAGUGACAUUUUAUAUAACAAUCAUGUGUAUUUUGUUGCAAAGUAUAGCAAUGAAACUAUGAUCUUUUUUGGCACAAAUUUGAUCUUGCUUCCAAACUUUUGGCCUGUAGUUUAUGUCUGUUUUUUUUCCUGAUAUUGAUGCUACAAACUUUAUCUCCAGCGUGUCAAAAACCUGCAGGAUCCACAUUUAUUCUGCUGUUGUCGAUCCAAAGGGACUUCUCUUGUUUUAUACAGUUUCCUGUGAGACUUGGUUUGGAUUAGGUACAUGUUACAGCAUCUAUUUAUAUAUAUAUAUAUAGUGUUUUUAUUUGCUCCCUUAUUCUUCUUUUCCCUGACACAAACAGCUGAAGUUUCUGUCUGAAAAGAGCUGACUCGUAGGAAAAACAAGUGCAUGAUGUGGAGUCAGUGUUUGUUUAGGAACGAUAUUUUUAUCUUUAUUCAUUCUGUCUGAAUCGUGAUGACACAGUGUUUCACAUUUUAAAUCACAAGAGUAAAGUGUGACUUCUAAACCCACAUUUAAACACAAACACUGCCACUUUAUAUUACACCAGAGCUUAAUAUGUGUUAGUGCCUUAUCAGUCUUGUCUAAGAAUCAUUUGUACUACACUUGUAUUUAAGGAAUAAACAGUGUUAUUUGGGAGCUUUUUUUCAUUCUUUCUAAAUAAAUCUUUGUAUUUUU